GCCGAAGUGGCGGAAUUGGUAGACGCGCCAGGUUCAGGGUCUGGUGGGGGUUCCCUCGUGGAAGUUCGAGUCUUCUCUUCGGCACCA
rnacentral:tRNA from 1 species